GCUGGAAUGGACUAGUUGGUUAAUAACCGUCAUAAUAUGACGACUGCCUAACACGCAGUAGGUACCGAGUUCGAUUCUCGGUUCCAGUA
rnacentral:tRNA from 1 species